CCCUUAGAGUUUGAUCCUGGCUCAGGACGAACGCUGGCGGCGUGCCUAACACAUGCAAGUCGAACGAGUCCAGGUCUUCGGACCUGAGGCGAGUGGCGGACGGGUGAGUAACACGUGAGCAAUCUAUCCUGUUGCGGGGGACAACGAGGGGAAACCUUCGCUAAUACCGCAUGGUCGAGAACCUCGAUGGGGUUUUCGGGAAACGUGGCCUCUUAGCAAUGCUACGGCGAUGGGAGGAGCUCGCGGGCUAUCAGCUUGUUGGUGAGGUCAUGGCUCACCAAGGCGACGACGGCUACGGGGUCUGAGAGGACGACCCCGCACAUUGGAACUGAGACACGGUCCAGACUCCUACGGGAGGCAGCAGUGGGGAAUAUUGGGCAAUGGCCGAAAGGCUGACCCAGCGACGCCGCGUGUGGGAGGAAGCCCUUCGGGGUGUAAACCACUGUCAGGAGGGACGAAAGAGUCGGGGGUGAAUAAUCCUCGGCAGUGACGGUACCUCCAAAGGAAGCACCGGCUAACUCUGUGCCAGCAGCCGCGGUAAUACAGAGGGUGCGAGCGUUGUUCGGAAUUACUGGGCGUAAAGCGCGCGCAGGCGGGUCCUGUAAGUCGGAAGUGAAAUUUCGGAGCUCAACUCCGAAGCUGCUUCUGAUACUGCGGAUCUGGAGAUCGGUAGAGGUCGGUGGAAUUACAGGUGUAGCGGUGGAAUGCGUAGAUAUCUGUAAGAACACCCGUGGCGAAAGCGGCCGACUGGGCCGAAUCUGACGCUGAGCGCGAAAGCGUGGGGAGCAAACAGAUAGAUACCCUGGUAGUCACGCCGUAAACGAUGGGCACUAGGUGCCGGGGGGAGCGACCCUUCGUGCGCAGCUACGCGAUAAGUGC
rnacentral:rRNA from 1 species